UUUACAGCCCUGGAGACUCUAAUCCUCCAUUUAUGCUCAGAAUGGGUACAGCAGUGGGGAUGCAAGCUUCCCAUAGUGCCUUAUGUAUAUACCUCAAACCUGACGUGCAGGGAUUAACUCUAAGGGUAAGUGGGUAGCUCAGUUUCCAUGUCCAUUUAGUUUUUGACUUCU
rnacentral:sRNA from 1 species